rnacentral:rRNA from 1 species
CGGAGGUACCCGAGUGGCGAACGGGUGAGUAACACGUGGGUGAUCUGCCCUGCACUCUGGGAUAAGCCUGGGAAACUGGGUCUAAUACCGGAUAGGACCAUGCUUUAGUGUGUGUGGUGGAAAGUUUUUUCGGUGUAGGAUGAGCCCGCGGCCUAUCAGCUUGUUGGCGGGGUAAUGGCCUACCAAGGCGGCGACGGGUAGCCGGACUGAGAGGUUGGUCGGCCACAUUGGGACUGAGAUACGGCCCAG